rnacentral:rRNA from 1 species
UUCUGGAAGUAUUGACAGAUUGAGAGCUCUUUCGUGAUUCGGUGGUGGUGGUGGUGCAUGUCCGGUCUUUGUUGGUGGAGCGAUUUGUGUGGUUAAUUCCGAUAACGAACGAGACUCUAGCCUAUUAAAUAGGUGCGUGGUUCUCUGCACUUUGCACCUUUCAUAGAGGGACAAGCGGCUCCUAGCCGCACGAAACAGAGCAAUAACAGGUCUGUAAUGCCCUUAAAU